UCAAAGAAAAUGCACCAGAACAACAGCAAACAAGAAUACUAAAUGAACCCAUUCUAUGCAAUUAUACUAAAAAACAUUAAACAUAUAUUGGUUCAACAAGUUUUGUAGUUCAUCAAAUUCUAAAAAUCUGCAAACAAAUUAGAGAAUGAGUAUCAACAAUGACUUUAACCUACUUGGAAGGAAGUGAAUGAGUUGCAAACUCAAAAAUCCAGAGGUUUGAACAAGUCGUGCCCGUGGCGGAGGUACUCUUCAAAUGAGGUGCGAUGAUGGGUUUGAAGAGGGAAAGGAAUGGAAGCAAAGAUUUGGCUAGGAGUAAAUGAGUGUGUGAAACGUGAGUGGAAUGUUGAGAGAUUAGUGUGGGAGAUAAGAGAAUGUAAGAGUGAGGAAGGGGUUGGAGGUGUAGACGGUGAUGGCUUAGUAGAGAGAGAAAGGGAAAGUGAUUGGAAUUAGGUCUAGAAAAAAUUAAAGUGGGUCAAAAGGGUUGGUCUUAAACCAUUAGACCACGUCGCUAGCAUUGGGCUACACGAUUUUGUGCAGCUGGGUGGCGUAUCAGAAGAAUGCAAAGGAUGGCCUCUGUUGGUGUGGCGCGCAGGUGCCACGCAGGUACAACCCAGCGAUAGUCUGGUAGAAGCAAUUUUUGUAGUAGUUUGGAAACUCCACUUGGAUUUUUGACAUUUGCCGUGCAUUCAAUCACAAUCAAGAUUAGAUCAACAUGUUUUCUACUAAUUAAAAACACCAGGAAUUCACCAUGAACUAAAGCAAAUGCAUGAAUCUAGAAAGAUGUAUGUAAUAGGCAAUGCACCUAACUAAACAUGGCAAGACCAUGCCUUUACACAAACAACACACUUAACCAUUUCAGAACAUAUCAUUACAUCCUAAGUCACACUAGAACACAUCAAAACAAGCUAAAGCACUCGAAGACACAUCAAUUCACUAAAAAACUCAACAACUACAACAAUGUAACUAGUCACACCCUAAUAACUACCAACUAAACUCAAACACUCCAAAAUCACUGAAUCAAAUUAAAACAUAUCAACUCAAAUUCAAACAGUCAAAACACACUCAAACAACAAAGUCACACACAAGAAAAUGUUAGAAAGUUGGGUUGCCUCCCAGUAAGCGC
rnacentral:lncRNA from 1 species